UAAAUUAGAGCUCUGUAAGACUUUACACUAAUUUAAAGCUGAGAGAGAAGACCGUGAGUGGUUAAAUAGUAACGGACGCAGGAGAAACUGUUAGCUCGUCUAGCUAACUAGCCUAGCUAACUGGGGAUUAACCGGAUUGAACUGGAUCCUCCGACACAGAGGGAGGAAGAAGCCGAGAGCCCACCGCCCCACACCAGGCCCCGACCUUGAACCGGAGACUCGUAAUUUGAGCUGGAGACCCCGAACCUGAACGGGAGACCCCAAACCUGCACCAGAGACCCGCAACCUGAACCAGAGACCCGUAACCUGAACCAGAGACCCCAAACCUGCACCAGAGACCCGCAACCUGCACCAGAGACCCCGAACCUGAACCAGAACCUGCUCCAGGAUCUCUGCUAGCUCCUUCUGAGUAUCUCCAUUUCGUCAUGCUUUCAGCUCUUUCCAUUUCUCUCCAAGGAGAUGAGAAAAGAAGUGUAAUUACCUGAAGGAGACCAAACCCUCUGUUAGUGGCGCAGAAAUCCUGCCGUAAUGACAAAAGCUGGAUGUUGAGCUGCCACAGAGCUGCCAUCUUAAGCUGUCAACACGGACUCCUUCCCAUCGCUGCGUUUCCUCCCACAUGACGACGUAAGAUGCUUACAG